CGUAUCAAAAAGCUGCCACACUGUCUGGAUUGGAGGCUGUGAUGAAGACAUCAUGAACAGCGUAGAUCUGGAGAGCAAUGGAGCUCUUUUUUUCUGAUUCUUUCCCUCCCCGACCGACACGUCACGUCAAGUGUGCAUCCCUCCUCCUCCUCUCCUGGCGAAUCAACAAGUAGACCCAGUCGGUGAAGACUUGGGUUCGGUUCCUCCUCCUCAGGAUCGCAGAGUGUUCUCCAUCCAGUAGGAGAGUGGACCGACUGAGAGGAUGAUGCUGCCUGCUGCCUGCUGCACUUCUCUCAGGCUCCCCGGGCAGGAUUUAACCCUCACUGUGCCAGCAUGGACACACUGCCUGGCUUCCACCAGAAGAUGUGGCCCAACCGGGAUGUUCACCUACCAAAGACAGGAGUGUUUCCAGGAGUGCCAAGCAGCGAAGCUUCUGACGUUUCCAUUUGUGAAAUCUGCUUGAACUCCCUCCGCACUGCACUCAGCGCUUCAAGAUUUGUCAGCAAGAAUCCUAAAAGCCAAAAGGCAGCAGGGCCGACGUUACCCUGGGAGCAAACAACACAGAAGAGUUGACCAUUGCCGUCUGUCUGACUCACGCUGCUGUUGCAUAGCGACAGCGCAGGUGCUUGUUUGGCUAAAGCAAACAGGAGCACAAUGUGACACUCACAGUGCUCAGACGACAAAGGCAAAAAAAAAAAGAACUAAAUCUUAAACCUCAUUCACUGAAAAAAAGAACGAGCUCUUCCUUUGUCUCAUUUUGGCAAGUGCAGCAUUUGUUUACAAUAACAUGAUUUGAAACCCAAGGUAGAACACGUGCUUAUUUACAGUCUCUAAAAAAGUAGAAAUCUUGUUUAUGACACAAAUGAUGCAACACUGCAAAUUGUCAUAUUGAAUGCAGUAAUACAGAACAUAGAAAACAUGCAAAAUGCUACUUUUGUUAUAUUGAUGCUCAUAAUUCCGGGGGUUUGUGAAUGCAACCUCGCUUAGAGUAAUUGUCAUUGGUGCAUAAGGAGGAAGUGCUAGCUAGCCAAGCACUGCUAGGUGCUACGAGGGUUGCAGUUGUAAUUUUAAAGGCCUACUGAAAUGACAUUUUCUUAUUUAAACGGGGAUAGCAGGUCCAUUCUAUGUGUCAUACUUGAUAAUUUCGUGAUAUUGCCAUAUUUUUGCUCAAAGGAUUUAGUAGAGAACAUCAACGAUAAAGUUCGCAACUUUUGGUCGCUAAUAAAAAAGACUGGCCUGUACCGGAAGUAGCAGAUGAUGUGAGCGUGACAUCACGGGUUGUAGAGAUCCUCACAUUGUUUACAAUCAUAGCCACCAGCAGCUAGAGCGAUUCGGACCGAGAAAGCGACAAUUUCCCCAUUAAUUUGAGCGAGGAUGAAAGAUUUGUGGAUGAGGAUAGUGAGAGUGAAGGACUAGGAAAAAAAAAAAAGGCAAGGGCAGUGGGAGCGAUUCAGAUGU